AGGUGGUGAGCUGUAAACUCGCUUAAGGAGGAACCUCCCCUGGCCG
rnacentral:tRNA from 1 species